rnacentral:tRNA from 1 species
AACUAAUGAGCUUGAUAAGCAUAUAUUUUGAAAAUAUAAGAUAGAGUAUUCUAUUAGUUU